rnacentral:sRNA from 1 species
UUGGGUUUUAAAUAUCACUCACACUCGACCAAUGUACUCGAUCUCUAGGCUCUCUGUAGAGUAAAAGUUUUGAAUUUUUACUCUAGCCUCACGUUAUUCCUCUAAUCCUGAGAACCACAAACACAACAAAAACAAAUCAAAAAUAACAAGAAAGUAAAAAUUAUUCACAAGGAUAAUCAUGGGACUUCCUCCCAAGUGAGCUUGUUUAAAGUCUCUAGCUUGACACCUCACACUUAUCAAGAGGAAAAUGAACUAUAGAGAGGGUCUGCAUAAUCCUCUCUGAUACCAUCAUCAUACUCAGCGUCCUCCCUGGAGAAUUGUGCAGCAGAAUACUCAAUUCCCCUCUCUUCAAAAUAUGCUUUUUUCUCCUCUGGAGGGUAAUCUGUCUCUUCAGACCAUCUUGAAGUGAACUUCUUUCUCGGGAUAGUGUCAAUCCCGCCUUUAGGUUGAGCUUCUUUCUGCAACUGAUUCAGCUUACUUCUAAGUUCCUCAACAGUGUGGGCUAGCUUCUCUAUAGUUUCAUCUUGCUUAUCAGACCUCUUUUUAAAUUCUUUCACUCUUUCAGUCUCAUAUUCUUCUCUUGAGAUCACUCUAUCAUUUCCAGAGGUUCUUCCAUCUUCUGUUAACCCUUGUGGAGUUUUGUUGAUGCCAAACUGCAACUUGAUAUGCUUUCCAAGGUUGAGACUUAUUUUCCCUUCCCUGACAUCUAUCACUGCUCCCACUGAAGCUAAGAAGGGUCUUCCCAGUAUUAAGGAAUCCUUAUGCUCUACUUCCAUAUCCAGCACCACGAAGUCUGUAGGCACUUCUACUCCAUUAAUCAUGACUGGUACAUCUUUAAGCAUGCUGAAGGGUCUUCUGGAAGACCUAUCCGCAAGGAUCAAAGUCAGGUCACAAGGUUUAUACCGAAUAAACUCUAACCUUCUUGCCACAGAGAGUGGCAUUAAGCUGACAGAGGCUCCGAGAUCGCACAGGCAAUCGCUAAAAGCUAAUUCCCCAAUGGAACAUGGUAGAGUGAAAGAUCCAGGAUCUUCUAACUUCUCUUGAACAAUCCUCUUAUCAGCAGCUCGAGAUGGAGUGCAUCACUUUCAUCAUCUGAAUCAUGAUACAUCUUGAUCCUUUCCAGUAUCAAAUUUCUCACAUCUUUGUGAGGAUCAGGAAUCAGGUUGAGAACUUCCAUCAGUGGCAUCACUACUUCAAUCUCGUCCAGCUGCUUCGCUGCAACAGACUUGUAUUUCUCCAUCCACGCUUUCCUGAAUGUCCACGGAAGAGCACGUGAGGGUAGUGGAGUAGGUUUGAAUCGUUUUACCAUUCUCUCGAUUAUGGCGGCCUUCUCUUCCGAGGUGGAUUGAGUGAGAUGGCGAGAACCAGCAGAAUGGUUGAAUUUAACAAUAGAGACUUCAACUUGGGUAGAAGCCUCCCCUUCUUGAACAUCACUGUCCCCAAUGAUGAAAUCAGGGACAGGUCGAGUUGGCAGCUCUCGAUCAUGGCAUAUGGUGAUGGCGUUAGCAGCUGCAUACUCCUUUGGAUUCUGUAUUGACUUCCCAGGAAGUCCUGUAACUUUUGGUGUAGAGGUAGAUGAUGAUUGUCCUUCCAAAUAUCUGACUUUGGUAUUCAAUGCCUCCACUUUGGUAGCUGCAAUCCAGCUUAUGGUGCAAUUCAGAUAAUUUCUUAGCAAUUUCCAUUGAGCUAGAUGAUUGUCCCUGUAGCAGCUGUUGUACCAUCUGUUUCAUUUCAGCAUCAGGAGCAGCAGGACCUUGGUUUUGCUGAGGUGCAAACCCAGGUGGUGGUUGUUGUUGGUAGUUCCCCUGAAAUUGCUGUUUGGGAACGAAACCUUGGUUGUAUGGAACAAAAGGUUUGUUCUGCCCUUGUUGUUGCUGUGGAGGAUACACCUGAUCCUGAGAUUAGCAACGUUGGUGCUGCGGUAGGAGAGGUUGGGGUUGUUGGUUUUGAAGUUGUUAUACCCUUUGUAGCCACCUUGGUUGUUGUUGAUGUAGCUGACUUCUUCCAACAGGUUACCCUCCCCAUCUUGGACUUGAAACUGCUCGUCAUCAACAAGGAAGUGCACAUGCUUCUGCUGGCUAAGAAGAAUCCUGUCCAGCUUGUCAUUCAGCGUUUUGAUCUCCUUCCUGUGUUUGUCAUCAGAGUCAGCUGUGCCUUUGACGGUCCUAUCGCAGUCCUCGUUGUAAUUACCAUCUGAUUGAGCAAGGUUCUCAACCAAUUCUCAGCCUUCUUCAACAUCUUUGUUCUGGAAAUUUCCAUUGCUGGCGGUAUCCAGAAGCAUUCUGAUGCGUGGUAGGACUCCUCUGUAAAGAGUGCUGAGCAGAGAGGCUUUAGUAAAGCCAUGAUGAGGGCAUUGGUUGGUGUAACCCUUGAAACGCUCCCAUGCUUCACAUAAGCUUUCACCAGUCUUCUGUGAGAAACCAGAAAUCUCAUUUCUGAGUCUUGCAGUUCUGGCAUUGGAGAAGAACUUUGAUAGAAAAGCCUUCUUACAAUCAUCCCAAGUGGUGAUUGAGUCAUGGAGCAAAUUCUUCUCCCAGAUGUGUGCUUUGUCGCCCAAGGAGAAUGGAAACAAACGGAGCUUGAAUCCGUCUUCACUAACACCAUUGAUCUUUGUUAGGUUGCAGAGCCUAUCGAAUUCAUCAAGGUGGUCGAGUGGAUCCUCCAUUGGCAGACCAUGGAAUUUGUUCCCCUGAAUCAUCGAGAUGAGACCACUCUUAAUCUCGAAGUUGUUGUUCUGGAUAGCAGGAGGUGCAAUUCCUUUCCUCUGACGGUGAUCACGUGGUGCAUCUCCAGCACCAAUGUUGGCAGGGCCAUUUUGUUGAUUCUAUUCUUCAGCCAUUUCGACUGGUUGCUGAGGUACAAGGUUGACUGUGUUUCUCCUUUCUCUGAGUUCGCGAGCUAUGUGGUCGAUGUUGUCGUUGAAAAGGAGGUUCUGAUUGCCUGUUGAUCGAGUUCGCAUACAACAGAGGUGUACCUGGAUCAAGAAGACAACAAGGAAAACACACAGUUAGCAACCGAUUUGAAAAUUGAAAAAGAACUUGAUCUAAGCAAGUCUGAAAUCUCAAAUGUAACAAACAAACACCCAAUCGGCAAUGGCGCCAAAUUGAUAAUAGGUUUUUAAUCAA